CAAUAGCGUAUAUUAAAGUUGUUGCAGUUAAAAAGCUCGUAGUUGGAUUUCUGGUAGGAGUGACCGUUCCGAACUUGAUUGUUCGUGUAUUGUGUUUUCUCCAGCCAUCCUUGUGGAGAACUUUUCUUGCAUUAAUUUGUAGGGAUUGGGACCCGCAUCGUUUACUGUGAAAAAUUUAGAGUGUUUAAAGCAGGCAAUCGCUUGAAUACAUUAGCAUGGAAUAAUAAGAUAGGACUUUGGUACUAUUUUGUUGGUUUGCAUACCAAAUUAAUGAUCAACAGGAACAGUUUGAGGAUAUUCGUAUGAACAUGUCAGAGGUGAAAUUCUUGGAUUUUGAUCAGACGAACUACUGCGAAAGCAUUUAUCAAGGAUGUUUUCAUUAA
rnacentral:rRNA from 1 species